rnacentral:rRNA from 1 species
UAUCUGCAGUCGAGCGGACAGAAGGGAGCUUGCUCCCGGAUGUUAGCGGCGGACGGGUGAGUAACACGUGGGUAACCUGCCUGUAAGACUGGGAUAACUCCGGGAAACCGGAGCUAAUACCGGAUAGUUCCUUGAACCGCAUGGUUCAAGGAUGAAAGACGGUUUCGGCUGUCACUUACAGAUGGACCCGCGGCGCAUUAGCUAGUUGGUGAGGUAACGGCUCACCAAGGCGACGAUGCGUAGCCGACCUGAGAGGGUGAUCGGCCACACUGGGACUGAGACACGGCCCAGACUCCUACGGGAGGCAGCAGUAGGGAAUCUUCCGCAAUGGACGAAAGUCUGACGGAGCAACGCCGCGUGAGUGAUGAAGGUUUUCGGAUCGUAAAGCUCUGUUGUUAGGGAAGAACAAGUGCAAGAGUAACUGCUUGCACCUUGACGGUACCUAACCAGAAAGCCACGGCUAACUACGUGCCAGCAGCCGCGGUAAUACGUAGGUGGCAAGCGUUGUCCGGAAUUAUUGGGCGUAAAGGGCUCGCAGGCGGUUUCUUAAGUCUGAUGUGAAAGCCCCCGGCUCAACCGGGGAGGGUCAUUGGAAACUGGGAAACUUGAGUGCAGAAGAGGAGAGUGGAAUUCCACGUGUAGCGGUGAAAUGCGUAGAGAUGUGGAGGAACACCAGUGGCGAAGGCGACUCUCUGGUCUGUAACUGACGCUGAAGAGCGAAAGCGUGGGGAGCGAACAGGAUUAGAUACCCUGGUAGUCCACGCCGUAAACGAUGAGUGCUAAGUGUUAGGGGGUUUCCGCCCCUUAGUGCUGCAGCUAACGCAUUAAGCACUCCGCCUGGGGAGUACGGU